rnacentral:lncRNA from 1 species
GCCCCCCUUAUUACAGGUGGAGAAAAACUAGUAUUAGAAUAUAAAUUUUGAUGUUGGUAGAAAAACAUUAUAAAUGCUAAUGUAAUAGCCACAAAGGGAAUGAUUAAUAUGUUUUAAAUGGUAAUUAGAAGCAAUUGUUACUACUAGUACAUUUUUUUUUUGUCACAAUAGAAAAGAUAGUUCACGUAAGAAAUAAAUGGCAACUUCUAAAGGUUCAGCCUCUACUAACCUAAGAAAUCCAAAUUAAUAUUUACCAAGUAAUUUUCUUUUAAAUAGCAGGACCUAAUGUAGAAAGGCAAGCUUUUCUAAGUACUUCUAGAAAGGAAGUUGGCAAAAUGUAUAAAAAGCCUUAAAUAUUAAUAAACUUUGCAAUUGAAUGCCAUGAGAAAAUACUUAACUACUCAUGCCAUGUUCAAAAAAUACAAAAUUAGAGUAGUGCCUGUCCUCUGUUCUCCCACCGUCUCCUUCCCUUUGGACGCAUUCCUUCAUAAAUACCCCCAGAAAUCGCUGUGAAAGGAAGCCUGUAAAUCCAAACCUAUUCUUGUGAGUCAUCCCCCCACUCCAAAGUCAGGGACAAACUUAAGGGUGGGAAAGAUUUUCAGCAUCAGGUACUCUAUUUGAAAACAACAUCAAGCAUUCCUCCAGGUGAUUACUUUAGGAUCUUAAGUAAAUUUCAGUUUUACCUCACAUAUUUAGGGUCUCCUGUUAUACAUAGCUGGAAUAUUGAUUGAGAUGCCAGUUUAGGAGCACAGUCUUGUCUGAAUGCUGUCCAUAAUUAUCCUAGUGAAAUGCUCAGAACGAAGUGCCACAUAAGUUUUCUGUUGGAUUAAUUUAGUCAACAAAAAAAUCAUAGAGAAUUUUGUUCCUGACAUGGCAAUGUGUCUUCAAUACGAACCUAAUUUUCCUUAAAGAAAAUUCAUUUUAGGUAGCUCCAAUGUGAUUUUGUAGUUUGCUAUACCAUCACCCCAAUAGAGGUGGGGAUUGUGAGAUAUUGGAUAUAUGGUUACUUUAAUUCAUAAUUGUAUGUUCAAAAUAGCUGGAUAGUUCCAAUUUUAUUUCCAGUGUUCUGAGCUAAGCAUAUAAGUAUAAAGACAAGAGUUCUUUACCAUCAAGUCCUCAGUGAUGGAGAAAUCAAACCUGCCACUAUCCACAAAGAAUUGUGACAGGUUGGAGAUGAGGGUAUUUCUCCAAGUUCCAAACCCUAGUCACUCCUGGACCCUUAGGGGGGAAAGAAAAAAAAAAAAAAUAACCCGGGGGGGGGCAAGUACAGAGUCCUUAAGAUGGAACCAGAAAUAAAAGAUCACCUAACUUUCUGGAAACCAAUUUUUAAGAUGCUCUGAGGACGUGUUUUUUUAAAGGAAGCUUUAUAACUUCAGGGGCUAGUACUUUGUGACAUGACUCAAUUCUUUUCAAUAAUCCAGACAAAGCCCCGCCCUCACAAUUCAGAGUUUAAUUAGGGAUAUAGACAAACCAAUCGAUACAAUGCAAUAAUAAAGGCUUGUUAUGCACAGUCAAGGAUGGCUUUGUUAGGUACAGUUUCCUCAAAAAGGUGACACCUGAGUCUUAAAGUUCACAAAAGUAAAGCAGUGCUCAAGGAUUAAAGAGCAUUAAGCAAAUCUUGGGUAGCCACAGAAGUAUUUCACAGAAGGCAGGCAGACAGGCAAUGGCUGCCUCAUUCACCUGAGUUGUUUGGUGUCUACCCCGAAAGCCAAAUGAUUUAUUGAAUGAUUUUAAGCAACAGGAUUAUAAUCAGAAUUGCAUUUCAGAAAGAUGAGUCAUUACAGUGGCAGAUGUGAGAUAACUGGGCUGAAACUAAGCUGAGAUAAUUUAGGAGGGACAAUAAUCUGUGAAGAAAUGAUGGAUGGGCAAAAUUACAUAGGCAAUGUUGAAAUGCUCAUGAAGGAACUUGAUCUUGAGUCGUUCUGUACCAUUUUUCCCUCCAUGAUGAACACUCCAUUCCCAUCAUCCAGUGCCUGUUCUUUCUUGCUCCAAAGAAAGAUCACAGAGCUCCAAGUCUUAGAAAGUUUGAGUAAGACCUUUCCUUCCAACAACCACAUAGCUCUAUGAAAGUCUUUGUUUCCCGUUAAAGGAAUUUCAAGAAUUUAGCAAAAGGAUGGGGGGACUAGAGGGGUCUGGACUGUCCCUUUAUGCCUCUGUGUAAAUCCAGCCCUAAAGGUAAACCAAAUUUAGUCCUUUUAUAGCUAGUGACUUGGAUUAGAGUGGCCCAGGAGCAUGAGUUCAAAGGCUGUCCCUCAGAGCUAUCCUUUCCUCCCCGGAAAGGGUAAUAGGGUUCUAGCUCCAUUGCAGAUUCUGAUAACCUGAGUCAAAAUAGGUUUUGCUAGACUUAAAGCUUUCCUUCUUUGACACAGUUAAUUCAGAAGUCUUCUUUCUACCCUAUAAGCCCCCUGCCUAAGCAAAACUGAGCCUUUUCUCCUACCUUCUCCUGCCUAGUAAUCCAUGGUUCUAUUUUCUAGCAAUACUAAUAGUUUAUUAUUUAAUGAUGUGUAUUUGCAUCCUGCUCUUCCAUUUUUGACUUUGCAGAGUGCAUUCCUGUUUCAUACAUUUCUCUACCAGGUCACAGAAUGUUUAUGGUAAGAUUUCUUCUUUAAAUGCAUAUGUUCCUUUCAUUAGUGGAGAGAUUACAAGAGCUAUUUAACAACCCUUAAGGGUCUACAAUUGGGCUGACAUGCUGUGUUCACAAAUAAAUAUGCUAAGUGAGGACUAUACAAAACAAGUUAAAAGUCAUAGACAUCCUUUUGUUUAUAACGGAAUCAUCAAAAAUAAAAAUAAGACAGCCUUUCAGGAUCGGUAAUGGUAAAAUAUAAAGUUGGUAUUUGCACUGGCACAGUCUACUUGGUCAUAGAAAUUUGUUCAACAUACUUGGAUGGUGAGUUAGCUUUAUUUUUCCUUCUUCUCACCAGGGAAACUGAUAGAUUAAGCAGUUUGGGGAAUUUUCCCAUGGUCUGAUGUCAUGGGUUGAGCUAUAAAACAGAGCAUGGAACUUUAUGGACUAUUACCCACAAAAGCCAAAGUUACCCCUUUAAAAGAAGGAAGGAAAAGGUAUUGCUGACUUAGAUCAUAAAAAUAACUGAAUUUUAUAAUAAGGCAAAUGCCUCAUCUCUACUUUCCUAUAAAAAAGUUGAGUUUACCUUUUUAUUUCAUUCUCUGUCAUGCCUGAGAUAUUUCUGUAUAACAACCAUAAAGUAUGCUUUUCCUCCGCAAUCCAAAAUGUUCUCCAGAUCCCAGUUCUUGCUGUCAUUUAAUAGGCAAGCACAUAUCUAGCACAUAUUUAUAGAUGGAUCAUACCUGAGGAAGUCCACAGAGAACAAGGGAUAUUUUCCCUAUAUUUGGGCAUGAAAUAUCACAUCAGUGUCUAAUUCUAGUGCUCCUACUUUUAAAAAAGAAAAGGGUAUGUAUAAUUUAAUCAAGUAGCAGAUGAACAGAAAAAAAUAAAUGUACAUAACUUUGUGAUGCCCCUAAAGUAAAGGUUUUGUUUUUGAGAAGCUUGAGUUUUAUUUUUUAUUUUAUAGAAACAUGAUUGAAAUGCACUUCAAUUCUAUUUCAAUUCAGGUGCUGCACACUUGCACUGGAUCUUUGGGGAUAGAAAAAUGAAUGAAACAUGAUUUGUGCACUCCAGGAGCUCAUGGGCCAAUGUAAACAUAAAAGCCAGAGUGCCAUAUUGUUGGGUUUUGUUUUGGGUUUUUUUUUUUUAAGUAUAUGUCAUAGUUUGUGGACCUCUCUCAUAUCAUUUGCUUAAUGAAAGGUUCUUACUAAAUCAACAGUAAUAUUGCCAUGCCAUGUGAAAUUUUUUGACAUUGCCAGUUAGUAACUUUAAAUCACCAAAAAGCUUUAACAUCAAAUGAUGCUCUUAGAAAGAGGAGACCUGGUGAAAAGCCUUCCAUCUCUACAUUUAGCCUGUGAGGUGUCCUCUAAAAAAGGAAACUAAUCUGAAAGAGACGUUUACACAUUUCUUAAUACUCUAAGUUUGUAGAUAACUGAUUUAAAUCAAACUCCAAGUUUGUAGAUAACUGAUUUAAAUCAAACUUAACUAGAAUAGGAUUUGUGUGUCAAGAAUUAUACCAUCUAUUGCCUCGUAAGCAACGCAAUAAUAUCUUGCUCACGAAAUUUGGCAACCAUUCAAUGAACCAAGUUAAGAACUCAGGUGCCUGAUGUCAAAAAUCAGACAGAGCUGAGAAUCCAGAAACAAACAAAUAUAUACUGAAUAAAUGAUGAAAGUGACAUUCAAAUCAGUAGGUGAAGAAUGGAUGGUUCAAAAAUAGUAAAAUAGAUAUCUUAAAUAGAUGUCUUAAACAUCAUAACCAUUUGGAAAAAAACAAUUUCAGAUCUCUAACUUACAAAAAUUAAUUCCAGCUAGAGUAGCAGUGAGUCUUAUGCUUUUUGGUCACAUAUUCCUUUUAGAAAUACCUCUGUGAAAAUGCACAUAAGCAAAAAAGUUUUAUAAGUAAGUUAUAAUGAGAUGCCUAACUUUAGCCAAAAAAGGGAAAUGCACAUUAAAACAUGAGAAACUAUCUCUGAUCCAAUUGGCAAAUAUUUAAAGUAAAUAUGAAUCAAGAGAGUGGAGAAACAAGAAUCCCACAUUGUUGGUGAGUAUAUAAAUGAAUACGGACACUUUUAAAGGCAAUUGAGUGGUAGCCAUUACAAUUUUAAAAUCACAUACUCUGUAACCCAAUAAUUCCAUUUUUUUUUAAAGAACACACUUUUGUUCACAAGGUGGCUUAUGCAAUGAUGUCUGCUAUACCUUUGGUUAUAACAGUAUAAAAUUAGGAAAACCAAAAUACCCCUCAUCAAGAUGGAGCAUGGAAAACAUUAUAAAAUACUAGGUAUCAAUGAAAAGGAAUGAGAGUCCUACAUGCACUGACAUGGAAAGAUACAAUGUUAAGUUUUUUGAAGUUUAGGGGGAAAUCGAAGGACAAUACACGAAAUACCUAUGAUGCCAUUGAGGUUAAAACACAUACCACACAUCCACACACACAAAUACUGUAUAGUGUACAUCUUAAGUACCUAAGUGUGUAUUAUAAAAAUGUAUAGAGAAGGUCUGAAAGGGUACUAACCAAACUGUUCACAGUAGUUUGGUGGAGUGCAUUAGCUUUACCUGUAACGUUUGAUGUUUUUGAGUAUGCAUUCAUGUAUUGUUUGUGUAACGACAAUUAAUAAAUUAGAAAU